AUACUUACCUGGCAUUUCCAUGAUAACAAAGAUGGUUUCCCCAGGGCGGGCAAGGCUUAUUCAUUGCACUCCAGAUAUGCUGACCCUUUCAAUUUCCCCAAAUGUGGGAAACUCAACUGCAUAAUUUGUGGUAAUGGGGUCCGCAUUUUCACUCUCCCCUA